rnacentral:tRNA from 1 species
GGGGCCGGACGCCGACGUCGGGUCGGCACGCGGCUGUAGACCGCGCGUCUUCGGACACGGGGGGUUCGACUCCCUCCCGCCCCA